AAAAAAUUAGUUAAAUAAAUAACAUUAGUAUGUCAAACUGAAAUUAUUAUACCUAUAAUAUUUUUUG
rnacentral:tRNA from 1 species